GACGAACGCUGGCGGCGUGCUUAACACAUGCAAGUCGAACGGAAAGGCUCGAGCUUGCUGGGGUACACGAGUGGCGAACGGGUGAGUAACACGUGGGUGACCUGCCCUGCACUUCGGGAUAAGCAAGGGAAACUGGGUCUAAUACCGGAUAGGAACAUGAUAUGGAUAGUGUGGUGGAAAGAUUUUUCGGUGUGGGAUGAGGGCGGGGCGUAUCAGAGUGUUGGGGGGGUAAUGGUUUACCAAGGGGGCGAGGGGUAGCCGGCCUGAGAGGGUGGACGGCCACAUUGGGACUGAGACACGGCCCAGACGCCUACGGGAGGCAGCAGUGGGGAAUAUUGCACAAUGGGCGGAAGCCUGAUGCAGCGACGCCGCGUGGGGGAUGACGGCCUUCGGGGAGGAAACUCCUUUCACCGUCGACGAAGAGUUUCUGACGGUAGAGGGAGAAGAAGCAACGGCUAACUACGUG
rnacentral:rRNA from 1 species